UUGGACUCCAUACAUUGGAGUUUGAUCAGCUCUUACAGAGACAGUGUAGGCUUCCCACCCUGUCUCAAAAACUGAAGCUAAACAAAGAAUUCCCACCUCCUGCAUAACAUAUUUGACACCCUGCACGUUCCACAGGUUUGAAGCAAAACAUCACUGUCAACCAACUGUAGACAUAGCAGUUUCUCAGGAAAGACUGUGCAUGAAUGUUACUGAUUGUCUGUUAGUCUUGUCUAGGUCUGUACAGCCCACUAAACUAGAAUAUACUAAUAUCUUUAAAGUGCCCAAGGUGCCCAAGAAAGCCGCUCUGGAAGAGCCCGUGCCUGUAGCUGCUUCAAAAAAGCCAGAACCAGCACCAGCCCAAGCGCCUGAAGUGCCCAGGAAAACUACUCGAGAAGAAAAAGUACCUGUGGUCACUGCCAAAGCACCCGAGCCUCCAGCAGCCAGAGGUACCUGACUUGGUGGAUAACUUGACAGAGAAGAUGCUUAAUCCGCUUCUCUUGAGCGUUGUCCUGCCCUCUCUUGGCCUGUCUUUGUUUCAAAUCUGAGACUCUUGAAGUUGUGAAUGUUGGGUAAACUGUGCUGCAGCAUGUGAGGUUUUGGUCUUGCUUUUGUGGUGUUUAGUGUUUGCAUUGCCCUCUUGUUUGUUCCUGUCUGGCCAGUCUUUUCAUCACUAUAAAUUGAACCCCACUAAUAUCUUUGAAGUGCCUGUGAUGCCAGAGGCAGAGGUCCUGGAAGAGGAAGAGGAGGAAGAAGCACUGGAAGAGGCAGUACCAGUGGCAGAGCCUGAAGAGCCGGAAGCUGCGCCAGCUGAAGUGCCUGAGGUGGUUGAGGAGGAGGAGCCAAAAGAAGAGGUUCCAGUGGUUGUUCCCAAGAAGCCUGAGACGGUGACCAAGAAGCCUGUG